CAGCAGCAGCAGCAGCAGGAAUACGCUGCGCCAGUCGUGUGACCCGCGUUAUCGAACAACGUGUCAAUGCGUCGCCGCCGUAUUAGGCGCCUUAAUAGUAUUGCGCGCGUACGAAAACAUUGUCACCGUCCGGUAUCGUUUGCCGGCAGGCGAUAAUAAUAAUAUCGUAUUAUCGAUGCGAAGUACCGGUACUCCCGCGUGUCUGCGGUACCCCGUUC